GGAAAGGCGCGCGAUACAGGGUGACAGCCCCGUACACAAAAAUGCACAUGCUGUGAGCUCGAUGAGUAGGGCGGGACACGUGGUAUCCUGUCUGAAUAUGGGGGGACCAUCCUCCAAGGCUAAAUACUCCUGACUGACCGAUAGUGAACCAGUACCGUGAGGGAAAGGCGAAAAGAACCCCGGCGAGGGGAGUGAAAAAGAACCUGAAACCGUGUACGUACAAGCAGUGGGAGCACGCUUCGGCGUGUGACUGCGUACCUUUUGUAUAAUGGGUCAGCGACUUAUAUUCUGUAGCAAGGUUAACCGAAUAGGGGAGCCGAAGGGAAACCGAGUCUUAACUGGGCGUUAAGUUGCAGGGUAUAGACCCGAAACCCGGUGAUCUAGCCAUGGGCAGGUUGAAGGUUGGGUAACACUAACUGGAGGACCGAACCGACUAAUGUUGAAAAAUUAGCGGAUGACUUGUGGCUGGGGGUGAAAGGCCAAUCAAACCGGGAGAUAGCUGGUUCUCCCCGAAAGCUAUUUAGGUAGCGCCUCGUGAAUUCAUCUCCGGGGGUAGAGCACUGUUUCGGCAAGGGGGUCAUCCCGACUUACCAACCCGAUGCAAACUGCGAAUACCGGAGAAUGUUAUCACGGGAGACACACGGCGGGUGCUAACGUCCGUCGUGAAGAGGGAAACAACCCAGACCGCCAGCUAAGGUCCCAAAGUCAUGGUUAAGUGGGAAACGAUGUGGGAAGGCCCAGACAGCCAGGAUGUUGGCUUAGAAGCAGCCAUCAUUUAAAGAAAGCGUAAUAGCUCACUGGUCGAGUCGGCCUGCGCGGAAGAUGUAACG
rnacentral:rRNA from 1 species